CCUCCCAAGUAGCUGGGAAUACAGGCACCUGCCACAACACUCAGCUAUUUUUUUGUAUUUACUUACUGUUCCUUUUCUUUCUAUCUGGUGACCUCUCACCCAGUGGGCAUUUCUAAUUGGGUAAAAACUAGAACUUGAUCCCGUCUUGCUUCACCAUUAACUGCGAAGUGCCUAUCAAAUGGCUAUUAAUAACUCAAUUUCUGCCUGGGUCAAAUCAGGUGAAGAA
rnacentral:lncRNA from 1 species